rnacentral:tmRNA from 1 species
GGGGGCGUACAGGUUUCGACGGGGGAUGCGGUGGCAGGAGGAGCGAGCCGGGGUUCCAUCAGCCCGUAAAACGGUGGAAAAACAAUAAUUGCCAAAGAAAACUACGCUUUAGCUGCUUAAUUGCAGUUAACCUUCUACCCGCGCUGGGCCCGUGGCCCGGGCUAGGGGGUCGACUUAACGGGCUGGCUUGACGCCCAAUUCUCGGAGGGGUUAAGCGAGAUUUAUCGAGAUAGUUCCUAGGGAGCCUGGCUGUAGGCGCCCACGGAGCGAAAACUAAAAUACAGCCUGCGCUCGGAGAAACUCCUGUGGUCGGUCUUCCGGACGGUGGGUUCGAUUCCCCCCGCCUCCACCA